GUAGGUGGCAAGCGUUGUCCGGGAAUUAUUGGGGCGUAAAGCGCGCGCAGGCGGUUCUUUAAGUCUGAUGUGAAAGCCCACGGGCUCAACCGUGGAGGGUCAUUGGAAACUGGAGAACUUGAGUACAGAAGAGGAAAGCGGAAUUCCACGUGUAGCGGUGAAAUGCGUAGAGAUGUGGAGGAACACCAGUGGCGAAGGCGGCUUUCUGGUCUGUAACUGACGCUGAGGCGCGAAAGCGUGGGGAGCAAACAGGAUUAGAUACCCUGGUAGUCCACGCCGUAAACGAUGAGUGCUAAGUGUUAUGGGGUUUCCGCCCCUUAGUGCUGCAGCUAACACAUUAAGCACUCCGCCUGGGGAGUACGGCCGCAAAGGCUG
rnacentral:rRNA from 1 species